GAUGGGCACAGAGGGGCUUGCGGGAGGGUGGUGCCAGUGUUCAGGGCCGUUUUGGCGGCUGGGCGGGAUUGGCCGAAGCUGCGGCGCUCGCCUCGCCGACCGCCAUUUCGCACCCCGCAAAGAAGGCGGGGGCGGCCGUGGAGACGGCUUUUUACAAGGUGACCAUGCUUUGAGACUUUCAUCAUUUGAGUGAUUCCUCUGGGCUCUGCCACCCAGCAAGUUGACGAGGACAAGAUUCCUCCUGGGGGAUCGUGGUUCUGGGAAUGUGAGCAGCUUGUUUUCACCAGAUCUGUACCCUGACCUGGCCUGCCGUCAGGGGCUGCUGUGUUGGUGGUUGUGUUGUUUUUAGUUGUUUCUUCCUACUUACACAGUUAUUUGUAUAUAAAAAUGUUUUAAAGUGAAUCUUUUAUGGGGAUAUUUUGCUUAUACAAAGAAAAAUGAAAAAGAUUUGAAAGUA